AUUGAACGCUGGCGGCAGGCCUAACACAUGCAAGUCGAACGAGUGGCGGACGGGUGAGUAAUGUCUGGGAAACUGCCUGAUGGAGGGGGAUAACUACUGGAAACGGUAGCUAAUACCGCAUACCAUCGGAUGUGCCCAGAUGGGAUUAGCUAGGAGGUGGGGUAACGGCUCACCUAGGCGACGAUCCCUAGCUGGUCUGAGAGGAUGACCAGCCACACUGGAACUGAGACACGGUCCAGACUCCUACGGGAGGCAGCAGUGGGGAAUAUUGCACAAUGGGCGCAAGCCUGAUGCAGCCAUGCCGCGUGUAUGAAGAAGGCCUUCGGGUUGUAAAGUACUUUCAGCGAGGAGGCGUUACCCGCAGAAGAAGCACCGGCUAACUCCGUGCCAGCAGCCGCGGUAAUAC
rnacentral:rRNA from 1 species